AUGCAGUCGAGCGGACAGAAGGGAGCUUGCUCCCGGAUGUUAGCGGCGGACGGGUGAGUAACACGUGGGUAACCUGCCUGUAAGACUGGGAUAACUCCGGGAAACCGGAGCUAAUACCGGAUAGUUCCUUGAACCGCAUGGUUCAAGGAUGAAAGACGGUUUCGGCUGUCACUUACAGAUGGACCCGCGGCGCAUUAGCUAGUUGGUGAGGUAACGGCUCACCAAGGCGACGAUGCGUAGCCGACCUGAGAGGGUGAUCGGCCACACUGGGACUGAGACACGGCCCAGACUCCUACGGGAGGCAGCAGUAGGGAAUCUUCCGCAAUGGACGAAAGUCUGACGGAGCAACGCCGCGUGAGUGAUGAAGGUUUUCGGAUCGUAAAGCUCUGUUGUUAGGGAAGAACAAGUGCAAGAGUAACUGCUUGCACCUUGACGGUACCUAACCAGAAAGCCACGGCUAACUACGUGCCAGCAGCCGCGGUAAUACGUAGGUGGCAAGCGUUGUCCGGAAUUAUUGGGCGUAAAGGGCUCGCAGGCGGUUUCUUAAGUCUGAUGUGAAAGCCCCCGGCUCAACCGGGGAGGGUCAUUGGAAACUGGGAAACUUGAGUGCAGAAGAGGAGAGUGGAAUUCCACGUGUAGCGGUGAAAUGCGUAGAGAUGUGGAGGAACACCAGUGGCGAAGGCGACUCUCUGGUCUGUAACUGACGCUGAGGAGCGAAAGCGUGGGGAGCGAACAGGAUUAGAUACCCUGGUAGUCCACGCCGUAAACGAUGAGUGCUAAGUGUUAGGGGGUUUCC
rnacentral:rRNA from 1 species